rnacentral:rRNA from 1 species
GAAUUCGCCCUUGUUGAUUCUGCCUGACGUGUGUGCUAGCCUUGAAGAUUAAGCCAUGCAAGCUAGGGAAGCAAUAUGUGGACCGGCGAACAGCUCAGUAAGACAGUUAUAAUUUACUCGUAGAUCCAAGGAUAACCAUGGUAAGCUAUGGCUAAAACAGGAAUAGAGCCGAAACAACAACGGCUUGAAGAAAAACUCUACGACUAAGUUUCUGGCCUAUUAGCUAGUAGGUAGUGUAAGGGACUACGUAGGCAGUGAUAGGUAACGGGAAAUGAUCGUUUGAUACCGGAGAGGGAGCCUGAGAAAUAGCUCCCACGUCUAAGGAUGGCAGCAGGCGCGAAAAUUACCCAAUGCAAGAAGCGAGGUAGUCAAGAGGCGUAAAAAAUUAAAAUUAACAGUAAAGAUGUUAAUUGUAACUGGAGGGCAAGUCUGGUGCCAGCAGCCGCGGUAAUUCCAGCUCCAGGAGCACAUAUGAUAGUUGCUGCAGUUAAAAAGUUCGUAGUUUGAGAAGAAGCCUGUGAGUAAAAUACACAACUCAAGAGUGUAAUUAGCGCAGCUAAUCUCUAGAGAGGAACAGAAGAAGGUGGUUGUAUUGGGCAGCGAAAGGUGAAAAUUGGCGACCUGCUCAGGACAAACGGAGGCGAAAGCGACCACCUAGUAUGUAUCCGUUAAUCAAGAACGUAAGCUGGAGGAUCGAAAAAGAUUAGACACCUUUGUAGUUCCAGCUGUAAACUAUGCCGACUGGGCGUAGGCGUAAUUGCCUGCGUCCUCGAGAAAUCAAGAGUUUGUGGGCUCUGGGGAUAGUACGAUCGCAAGAUUGAAACUUAAAGAAAUUGACGGAAGGACACCACAAGGAGUGGAGUGUGCGGCUUAAUUUGACUCAACGCGAAGGGCGAAUUC